UACAGAGGGGGCAAGCGUUAUUCGGAAUUAUUGGGCGUAAAGGGCGCGUAGGCGGCCAGGCAAGUGGAAGGUGAAAUCCCUCGGCUUAACCGAGGAACUGCCCUCCAAACUGCUUGGCUUGAGACCGGGAGAGGUGAGUGGAAUUCCUGGUGUAGCGGUGAAAUGCGCAGAUAUCAGGAGGAACACCGGUGGCGAAGGCGGGUCUCUGGGCCGAUACUGACGCUGAGGCACGAAAGCGUGGGGAGCAAACAGG
rnacentral:rRNA from 1 species